CCUACGGGCGGCAGCAGUGGGGAAUAUUGGACAAUGGGGGGAACCCUGAUCCAGCCAUGCCGCGUGUGUGAAGAAGGCCCUCGGGUUGUAAAGCACUUUCAGUGAGGAAGAACGCCUGGUGGUUAAUACCCAUCAGGAAAGACAUCACUCACAGAAGAAGCACCGGCUAACUCCGUGCCAGCAGCCGCGGUAAUACGGAGGGUGCGAGCGUUAAUCGGAAUUACUGGGCGUAAAGCGCGCGUAGGUGGCUUGAUAAGCCGGUUGUGAAAGCCCCGGGCUCAACCUGGGAACGGCAUCCGGAACUGUCAAGCUAGAGUGCAGGAGAGGAAGGUAGAAUUCCCGGUGUAGCGGUGAAAUGCGUAGAGAUCGGGAGGAAUACCAGUGGCGAAGGCGGCAUUCUGGACUGACACUGACACUGAGGUGCGAAAGCGUGGGUAGCAAACAGGAUUAGAUACCCUAGUAGUC
rnacentral:rRNA from 1 species